UACGUAGGGUGCAAGCGUUGUUCGGAAUUACUGGGCGUAAAGCGCGCGUAGGCGGACCUGCAAGUCGGGGGUGAAAGCCCGAGGCUCAACCUCGGAACUGCCUUCGAUACUGCGGGUCUCGAGUCCGGGAGAGGUGAGUGGAAUUCCUAGUGUAGAGGUGAAAUUCGUAGAUAUUAGGAAGAACACCAGUGGCGAAGGCGGCUCACUGGCCCGGUACUGACGCUGAGGCGCGAAAGCGUGGGAAGCAAACAGG
rnacentral:rRNA from 1 species